rnacentral:rRNA from 1 species
UACGUAGGCAGCAAGCGUUGUUCGGAAUUACUGGGCGUAAAGAGUGUGUAGGCGGUGCUCUAAGUUUGGUGUGAAAUCUCCCGGCUCAACUGGGAGGGUGCGCCGAAAACUGGAAUGCUUGAACAUGGGAGAGGAAAGCGGAAUUCCUGGUGUGAGCGGUGAAAUGCGUAGAUAUCAGGAGGAACACCUGCGGUGUAGACGGCUUUCUGGACCAUUGUUGACGCUGAGACACGAAAGCGUGGGUAGCAAACAGG